GACGUAGGGUGCGAGCGUUGUCCGGAUUUAUUGGGCGUAAAGAGCUCGUAGGCGGCUCGUCGCGUCGACCGUGAAAACCCGCGGCUUAACUGCGGGCUUGCGGUUGAUACGGGCGGGCUAGAGUUCGGUAGGGGGAGACUGGAAUUCCUGGUGUAGCGGUGAAAUGCGUAGAUAUUGGGAGGAACACCGGUGGCGAAGGCGGCUACCUGGACCGGUACUGACGCUGAGGCGCGAAAGCUAGGGUAGCAAACAGG
rnacentral:rRNA from 1 species